GAAUUUUAAUGAAUUCUGCUCACAAGAAGUAGUGAAAGAAGAUUCCAUGAACAAUAAAGAUGUGAUAGAAAUAGACAAUGGACACCAUGUUGAAAAUAAUCUGUCAGACGCAGCUUUUAGUGAUGAAGAGGAUGAUAUGGAAAAGCUGCCAUCUGACUGCACCUUCCAACCAAUCAGAGAUACGCGAUACGAGCCCGUGGAUUUAGUAGAAUACCUACAACAGCUGGGAGGAGAUAUAUACGAGUACACAGUUCAACUCAGAGACGAAAAAGAUCAAGAGAUUCAGUGUGAGGUCAUGGACCGACUUCUACAGACAAUUCUAAGAGAGGACGAGUGUGACCUAGAUAUGACAGGUGGCCCUCUCGCCGCCUGUAUCUGUCAGAUCCUCGCCUCCCAACUCAGCAGUAAUCUCUUCCCGAAGGAGCAGGAUGAGGAGUCUUUAGAAGACUCCAUAGGAUCACCACUCUUUGUCAUGUUUAGGUUUCUGACAACAAUGCCGGAGGAGGACCCCAACAGACAGCCGAUCCUGCAGCUGAUGGGUGAGAUGUACAACCGCCAGGCCCGGAUAGGCUACUAUCUCCUCUACUUCAUCAAAGUCGGGAAAGUAAAUGAUGAGAAAAUGAACACGUACAAAGAUUUUUGUAAAAGUUUAGACAACAAGGAUCUGCCCUCCUGUUUGAUGAGAGACUUAAAGCUGUGUCAAGAGGAUGAUGUGAGGCUGUUUAUCUUCCUUAUGCCAGAUAUUUACACAAUUUUUCCAAACAUAGCAAUAGGAAAUGUGGAGUUGCUUCACAUGAUAGUGUCAGCCAUCGAUGGAACACAGCUCCAGGAGUUGAUCUGUCAGAUCCUACAGGGACACCUGGUCAUGUUCAGAAAGGACUCCUUCCUCUCCAUCCUGAACGGGAGCCUGGAGUGGGAGACGUUGGAGCAGUACUUCCUGUGGCAGCUCAUCUCCGCCCACAACAUCCCCGUCGAUUACAUAAUGCCCGUCCUCCCCAAACUCGACUACACAGACCCUCCUCGGACUUGAUUCGGCCUAUCCUGUGUAGAGAUUACAAGAAGACGGACUUCUUUGCUGUAUCCAUCCUCAAGUACUGGGCUCAGGAAUACGAAGACAAACUGGCCGAGAUUAUCCUGGCUCAGGUCUCCAAGAUGAACGGGACGCCAAAGAAACGACAGAGGGUUGGAAAUGCAAGUUCAAAGAAGGAUGGGAUCAGCAUUGAACAAAUAUUGUCACAUCUGGACCACAUGAGACAAGUCUGCAAGAACAUUUCCUUUUUGAACAAUGAAAACAUACAGCAUGCUCUGCAACAGGUGCAUCAAAUGUCCAAUGAAACUCUUAAAACAAAAUUCAGCGACCUUCUAGCUCUAGCAGACGACAUUGAGGCAGACUUUAAAUCGGUGCGAGUUUUACGUGGAGUACCGGCCAGAAAGGCUGCUAAUGCUAGUGCUGCGAUGGGGCUAGACAACAGAAACUCUCGCAAAACCACCAAAAAGGUUGUCCAGGAAACGAGUGGGUCCUCAGAUAGCAGCGAUGAUGAAGAAAUCAAACCAAGACCCAAGAAAAGGAAGAAAGCUUUACCAGUGGAGGAGGAUAGUGAUUAAUCAACCAACGUCUGGACCGCCCUGUCAGGGGCCUCUGUUACAGAGAUCUUGCCCUGUGGCGGGGCCUCUUAUAGAGACAGAUCUAGCCCUGUGGGGGCCACUGAGAGAGACAAAUCAAGCCUUGUGGGGGGCCUCUGAGAGAGACAGAAGGCCGAUACCUACAGUUUCUGUAUGGGGACAAUCUCGGACAGCAGUGGUUUUAUUGUGAAGUCUUUCAUUUUAUUGGGAAGUGAGCAACAUUUUACCUGAGGUAAGGAAGGGGAAUCUCAUUCUCCUGAUAAUGUGCUUUUCAAGGACAGCCAUGGACCUGGAGACGUGUGGGGAGUGCUGUACAACAAGGUGUUCUGUGUCGAAUCAUUCAUCAGUGUCCCACUGUUACACAGGAUGUUAACCUGUGGAUGUUAGCAUCAAGGUACUUGACCAUAGAGCAGAGGUGCUGAGGGGUCUGUGUUACAAACAGAACAUUAGUGAUAAUGGCUAGUGUCUGCGACUUUGACAUGGGUGUCCUUCAGUGUCUGGUGUCUGAUUCUGAGAAAAAAAUGACACAGUGUAAGGUACACGCCCCCUAAUUCUGAGUGUGACAGACUAAGCCAGGAACCUUAACUGGAUUUCUACAGACAACACAUGUUACAGCAUAUGUUGGGCACACCCCUUUAUUCUAUAUGUAACUUGAAGUCUGACACAGUGCUUUUUGAAUUGGUUGAUGUCUAUAAACAGCACAUGUUACAACAUGUGUGACGGACACAACCCCUGAGUGUGACUGAAGCAGUUCAAGGUGGCUCAACUGGAUGUCUUCAGGCAGUAUGAGUUACAGCCCGCCUGGAUCUCACAUAGGCAGCACAGUGUAUCCGGAACAAUCCAUUUUAUAUCUCGUUUGACGAGAUUUCCAGUUUUUUAUAGCAGAAGUCUGUGUUCUACACAAUAAGAGUGUGAUGAAACCAUCCGUCUUUGAAUCAUUAAACCUGAUGUUUACUUUGUUUUUUGAUACAUGUAUUUCAGAUUAAAAUGAAUGAAAUCU
rnacentral:sRNA from 1 species